CCAAAGAAGAGGCGGAGCGGGAAUCUUCUGACCACAACGCGAUGAUGCAGGGAAUUGGUCCACCAUACUGCUGGAGUUUAAGUGAAUCUGUUAAAAGAUGGCUGGUGAGGUUUUCCUGAGAAUCCUCAUUGGUGGGGACCAAGAUUCCGGAGAACUGGUCCUUGAGACUGGAAUCCCAGAGUCUGUUGAUGAACUUUGUAUCAAAAUAAAGAGUUCUUUUGGACUUGUCAAGCCAUUCAGGCUUCAGUACCAGGACAAUGACUUUGGGAAUGAAUACAUGAAUUUCUCUGCGACCUCUGAAAGACCGAAGUACUCUGAAAGUGAUAUUCUUUUCCAGUGAGGCCACAACCUUUGAUGAGUUAAAUGAGUUAAGUACACCAAUAACCGCUUCAAGCUUUCCUACUCCUCUGAUCCAGGCUUGUAUUGUACCCAAUUCAGCCUCCUCCCUAGAUCAAGAGGAUCCUGUGUCAUUUGAGUCAUGUGACAGUAACAGUACAAUACUGUUGUCUUCUCCUGAGACGACGUCACGUUCUUGGCCAGAAGUCUUUGUUGUAUCUUGCUUUGUAUGUGCUGCAGAGCUACAACUUGAGAGAGGAAAUGCAGAGAUGGAACUUUACUCUCACCUCCUCUGAACUUGAGAUCUGAUGUUCUUGAGGGUAUGUCUGAAGAAAUUAUUAAGGACACCGCUUACCCCAAAGAUAGUCAGCUGGAAGAAGCCGCCAAGGCCCUGACAAAGACUCACCCCUGUUUGCGUGAGAGGGGAUCUGAAACUGGCUAUGACGGAUAGAAGCAAUACCAAAAGGUGACAAUGGCUAACUCGCGCUCUAUUCUUGGGCGACAUGGACAUCCAGAAGUCACAGUCAACUCCCUGGUCAAGGAAAGCCAGCUGCCAACAUUAAGAAGGCAGAGGUGAACUUUCUUCCAUGUUACCCAAAAGGAGAAACCAGAGACAGUCUGGAGAAGGAACAGGUUGCUCUUUUGACUGAAGUGAAGAAAAAGAACAAUGGAGCAGUGAUCAGAGAAAAAAAUGCUACUUAUCUUCUCGUCCAGAAGACAAGAAGUGGUUUUCAAACAUGCCAAUGGUUGCUGAAAUCUGAAAUAGAUGGCCAGCAGUUUUUGAGGCUGAAGAAGUUAAUGCAGAGUUUAUGCGGGUAAAUGUAUAUUGCCUCUUGAAUCACGGUUCAUCUCCCAGUUGGACAAGCACUCGGACAACCUUAUGAAGGUAUUCCGCAACAAGGUGGGAGUUGCAGGAAAGAAGAUCCGUCAGAUAAUGUCAUUGACAACUAAGACAGAUGACAUACACGUUUAAGCGAGAGUGAAUCUUGAAAUGCAUGUGUCUACCUGAAUGAGGACACCAAGCCACUCGUCAAGGAAUACUCGCCCUUGUUCUUUGCAGGGAUGGGUGAGGGACACACUGCCAGCUGUUUGGUGAGCAAGUGAGUGGUCAAAAAGCAUCAACAUAGAUGACAUGGAGAGGGAGUUUCCUCUGACAACCAUGGGGGUCUACGAGGUCAGAAAAGAAAAUGCAGAGCCUGAAGAAGAUCCAGAGGGUGUGGGAGUGCUGAUUGAAGGGGUGGAGGUUCUUGCUGGCCUACCAAGUAUCACUUGUGGAUGCGCCAUGCUGUUUGCAUUGAUCUAUGCACUCAAUUUGAGCUACCCACAAGCGUGGAAGUGCACAUUUGAAGUGUACCAGAAGAUACUGAUGAACCUUGAUGUGCACGUUCGCUGACAGCUUCAAAGGAACGUCGAGAGAAAUGUUUCCUGCUCUUCAUCUUCACCAGAGGGGUUUGCUCUUCACCGCCGGAACAUCUGGAUUCUCCAAAGCGGUCAAAAAACACUCCCACACCAGUUCCUACUAAAACAAGGUUUGGUAGAGUCAUGGUAAAACCCAAGAGACUGGACUUAAAUAAACAGAAUACGAUUUUCCUUGAAAAAAAAGGGUAGUGGAAUGUGAAGUUUAUGCUGGGUAUGUGAAAUUUAACAGGUAUAUCUUUAAAUCCAUAAGAAUUUGCAAAUUAUAUUGACUUGAGGUGAGUUUGGGGGUCCUACUCCUCCAAACUUGUUGCUUCUUAUAUACUGAAUGUUUGUAGUUCUUAACAUAAUCAAGGUGUUUUUAUUUACUUUGUUAAUCUAUCAUAUUUAUUUUAAUCUAUUAUACUUAUGUUUUUUUCCUACAUCUCUUACAACAUAAUUUGCAAAAAACAUGCAAACUCGCCAACAACGUCAUCUAUGGCCUUCCGGGACAGCCAAUAGAUACUUGUCUUUCUGAGGAGUUGUCAACAUUGAUGCCAACCGCGAUAAUACAGAUGAAGAGGAAAACACUUGUAGACGGUCCCUGCGCUCCGGUCUCGCUGCCGGCUUCUCACAGAGAUCAAUAUAAGUCAAACUGCACAGAACACGGCUCGUUUUGAUAAAAACAUAGUUGUAGCUGUUUGUCUGUGUUACCAUGGUUGGAAAGAGGUAUGGUUUACUGUGUUAGAGCCAUUCACUUGGGAGUUAUUGAUCCCGGAAGUUUGAAUAUGUGAAUAUGUUUGCAGCUUUACCACAGUCGCUUUUGUGUUCCCUCGCAUAUUUUUUUUU